rnacentral:ribozyme from 1 species
AAGAAGAAAGGAAAGAAAAGAAAAAGAAAAUGUAUAUAUAAAGAUAGAUAAAUAAAUAAACAAUAAGAGAUUUGUUUAUAUGUGUUGUCGUUACCUCGUUUUUAUUUUUUAUAUGCCUCCUUGUUUUCAUUUCCAGCAAUCGAAUAGGUAUUCAUGAAUUGAGGUAUUUAGGACUGAUA